rnacentral:rRNA from 1 species
CAUGCAAGUCGAACGAUGAGGCCCUUCGGGGUGGAUUAGUGGCGAACGGGUGAGUAACACGUGGGCAAUCUGCCCUUCACUCUGGGACAAGCCCUGGAAACGGGGUCUAAUACCGGAUAACACUUCUGCCCGCAUGGGUGGGGGUUAAAAGCUCCGGCGGUGAAGGAUGAGCCCGCGGCCUAUCAGCUUGUUGGUGAGGUAGUGGCUCACCAAGGCGACGACGGGUAGCCGGCCUGAGAGGGCGACCGGCCACACUGGGACUGAGACACGGCCCAGACUCCUACGGGAGGCAGCAGUGGGGAAUAUUGCACAAUGGGCGAAAGCCUGAUGCAGCGACGCCGCGUGAGGGAUGACGGCCUUCGGGUUGUAAACCUCUUUCAGCAGGGAAGAAGCGAAAGUGACGGUACCUGCAGAAGAAGCGCCGGCUAACUACGUGCCAGCAGCCGCGGUAAUACGUAGGGCGCAAGCGUUGUCCGGAAUUAUUGGGCGUAAAGAGCUCGUAGGCGGCUUGUCACGUCGGGUGUGAAAGCCCGGGGCUUAACCCCGGGUCUGCAUUCGAUACGGGCUAGCUAGAGUGUGGUAGGGGAGAUCGGAAUUCCUGGUGUAGCGGUGAAAUGCGCAGAUAUCAGGAGGAACACCGGUGGCGAAGGCGGAUCUCUGGGCCAUUACUGACGCUGAGGAGCGAAAGCGUGGGGAGCGAACAGGAUUAGAUACCCUGGUAGUCCACGCCGUAAACGGUGGGAACUAGGUGUUGGCGACAUUCCACGUCGUCGGUGCCGCAGCUAACGCAUUAAGUUCCCCGCCUGGGGAGUACGGCCGCAAGGCUAAAACUCAAAGGAAUUGACGGGGGCCCGCACAAGCAGCGGAGCAUGUGGCUUAAUUCGACGCAACGCGAAGAACCUUACCAAGGCUUGACAUACACCGGAAAGCAUUAGAGAUAGUGCCCCCCUUGUGGUCGGUGUACAGGUGGUGCAUGGCUGUCGUCAGCUCGUGUCGUGAGAUGUUGGGUUAAGUCCCGCAACGAGCGCAACCCUUGUUCUGUGUUGCCAGCAUGCCCUUCGGGGUGAUGGGGACUCACAGGAGACUGCCGGGGUCAACUCGGAGGAAGGUGGGGACGACGUCAAGUCAUCAUGCCCCUUAUGUCUUGGGCUGCACACGUGCUACAAUGGCAGGUACAAAGAGCUGCGAAGCCGCGAGGCGGAGCGAAUCUCAAAAAGCCUGUCUCAGUUCGGAUUGGGGUCUGCAACUCGACCCCAUGAAGUCGGAGUUGCUAGUAAUCGCAGAUCAGCAUUGCUGCGGUGAAUACGUUCCCGGGCCUUGUACACACCGCCCGUCACGUCACGAAAGUCGGUAACACCCGAAGCCGGUGGCCCAACCCCUUGUGGGAGGGAGCUGUCGAAGGUGGGACUGGCGAUUGGACGA